rnacentral:rRNA from 1 species
GCAGUCGAGCGGUAGAGAGGUGCUUGCACCUCUUGAGAGCGGCGGACGGGUGAGUAAAGCCUAGGAAUCUGCCUGGUAGUGGGGGAUAACGCUCGGAAACGGACGCUAAUACCGCAUACGUCCUACGGGAGAAAGCAGGGGACCUUCGGGCCUUGCGCUAUCAGAUGAGCCUAGGUCGGAUUAGCUAGUUGGUGAGGUAAUGGCUCACCAAGGCGACGAUCCGUAACUGGUCUGAGAGGAUGAUCAGUCACACUGGAACUGAGACACGGUCCAGACUCCUACGGGAGGCAGCAGUGGGGAAUAUUGGACAAUGGGCGAAAGCCUGAUCCAGCCAUGCCGCGUGUGUGAAGAAGGUCUUCGGAUUGUAAAGCACUUUAAGUUGGGAGGAAGGGCAUUAACCUAAUACGUUAGUGUUUUGACGUUACCGACAGAAUAAGCACCGGCUAACUCUGUGCCAGCAGCCGCGGUAAUACAGAGGGUGCAAGCGUUAAUCGGAAUUACUGGGCGUAAAGCGCGCGUAGGUGGUUCGUUAAGUUGGAUGUGAAAUCCCCGGGCUCGACCUGGGAACUGCAUUCAAAACUGUCGAGCUAGAGUAUGGUAGAGGGUGGUGGAAUUUCCUGUGUAGCGGUGAAAUGCGUAGAUAUAGGAAGGAACACCAGUGGCGAAGGCGACCACCUGGACUGAUACUGACACUGAGGUGCGAAAGCGUGGGGAGCAAACAGGAUUAGAUA